UUACUUUUACUUUUAGUUUCCACAUUCAUUUCCUAUACAUUCCCACUAUAUAUAUACCUAUAACCUAAUAUCCCUUUUCAAUUAGCUCACAACAACAAUUUCCAAACCAUCCCAAAGCUAAUCUUAACCUCAACUCAUCAACAGCAAGAUAUAAGCUAAUCUUGCAAUAUACUUCGCUUCCGUUCUCAUACAAAAACCAUAGCUUUUUCACUUUUCUUUUACUUUCACUUAUGUUGAAUCUACCACCACAAUAAUACUCUCCUCCUGUGUUGCUGGAACAGUGUGUUUAGCCGUGGAGAGGGCACACUGGCGGCGGUGUGUCAAACUCCCGUGUGCUUCUAUUUUGUUGAAGAUGAUAUUGUGGCAGAGAACCACACAUGUGUCAAACCCCGUGUUACCUCCACACCACUGCCUCCACCACUACACUUGCUGCUGCUCCGGCUAGCCGUCACAAAUGAUAUUGGAACUGUUAGUUCAUUAUAGUAUCACAUAUUACAUUAUAAUUUAUAAUAAUUAGAAUGUAAUAUGUGAUCCUAUAAUGAGGUCACAUCAUUAAUAAAGUAGUUUAUGAUCAAUCUCUUUUUUUUUUUGCUUUAAAAAAAUAAGAGCAUUCUAAGAACCAUUGUUUUUACUCUACUCAUGUUUUAUUUUCUUCAAAAUAUGAGAGUUGAGUUUACUACAGAGAAAUAUACUUGUUUGAGACCUCUGUGUGUCCGCCACACCACUGCCUCUACCAAUACAUUUGUUGCUGCUAUUCAUCCUACAAGUGGUGAUGAUAUUGUGGCAGAGAAACACACAUGUGUCAAACUUCCGUGUUACCUCCACACCACUGUCUUCACCACUAGAUUUGCUGCUGCUCAUGCCAACCGUCACAAAUGAUAUUGGAACUGCUAGUUCAUUAUAGGAUCACAUAUUACAUCAUCAUUUAUAAUAAUUAUAAUGUAAUAUCAUCAUUAAUAAAGCAGUUUAUGAUCUA